ACCUGGGUGGCUCAGUUGGUUGAGUGUCUGACUUCAGCUCAGGUCAUGACCUCCCAGCUCGUGAGUUCGAGCCCCACGUCAGGCU
rnacentral:tRNA from 1 species